GCAAGUCGAACGGUAGGAAUCCUUCGGGAUUCUGAGAGUGGCGAACGGGUGAGUAACACGUAGAUGAUCUACCUUUUAGUUGGGGAUAGCCCAUGGAAACAUGGAGUAAUACCGAAUAAUCUCUUUUCCCUUUGGGGAAUUGAGGAAAGCAGCGUUUGCUGCGCUGAAAGAUGAGUCUGCGCACUAUUAGCUAGUUGGUGGUGUAAUGGACUACCAAGGCGACGAUAGUUAGCCGACCUGAGAGGGUGAUC
rnacentral:rRNA from 1 species